GCUGCCAACAGCAGUUGGCUAUGAAGAUACCUUUGUACACUAAAAACAAAAAAAAAAAGAGAGAGGAAUGUUUAGCCUGGUAACUGUCAACUUGCUGUUUACGUUAGGGGUGGGUACCGAGCGAACCCUCCACAAGGUUGGGCUGACAACAGACACAGGCCAGGUAUAAAAACCAAGCACGCCAGCAAAAUCAAGAUCAGCCACACGGGCAGGUAGCUAGGCCACAAAUAAGGAGCGAAUAUCAUAAAGGAGAAAGAGAGACAGAGGGAGAGAGAGAAACGGUGAGAAGGUAAGCAGGGUCGGUGCACUGGCGCAGAACGUGCAUUCCAGAGCUGAAUAAAAUGAAAUAAAAGUACAGUCAGUCAUUCAAGAAGAUGCCCAAGCAAACGCACCCUGUUGCACAGUGUGCUGUUGCUCCUUGUUGGGCAUUGUCGCACCUUUGUCUCGCACACUUCUGUCCAUCAAUAGAUCCAUCAAUCAAUCAUGCGCCACUCGGCAUACCGAAAGAUGAAUAUGAAGAGUCAGCGCGAAUCAUAUAUGUAGCCAAAAUGUUUCGAUUAUGAGUUUCGAGUGCCUGACUCAGCCUACCCAAAAAAAAACAAAAAGAAAGAAAAGAAAACCCCUCCCAUAAUCUCUUGAUGAUGCUGUUCCCUGCUAGAGAGCCAGGCCAAUAAAAGAUAUAUAGAGAGUUCUGUCAAAGAUAUCCAUUUGCUUAGCUGUGAACUGAUUGCUAAUGGAUUCCUAAGAAAUUUCAUUACUGAAUAUA